rnacentral:lncRNA from 1 species
AUGCAAAACAGUGUGAUUUAUAUAUAUAUAUAUAUAUAUAUAUAUAUAUAUAUGUCUGUAUGUGUGUAUAUAUAUAUGUAUGUAUAUGUUAAUAUUGUAUUGAAACCAUUGAUGUCCCUCUUUGCAGAACUCAAACUAACUGGAGUUAAGGACACACAAGUCUGCUUGUGUGAGGAGGUGGUUUUCUCAGCUUCUUCUGAAGAGAGGGAAAGAUCGUUUAAGAUGUUAAAAGCAAGAGACAUGGGAGAGCAUCAUUCCUUUGAGAUUUUAUAA